CUGACUUGAAUAGUAUGGAAGUAACUAGAAUAUGUAGUGUAGCGGUGAAAUGCUUAGAUAUUACAUGGAAUACCAAUUGCGAAGGCAGGUUACUACGUACUUAUUGACGCUGAUGAACGAAAGCGUGGGUAGCGAACAGGAUUAGAUACCCUGGUAGUCCACGCCGUAAACGAUGGAUACUAGCUGUUCGGACUUCGGUUUGAGUGGCUAAGCGAAAGUGAUAAGUAUCCCACCUGGGGAGUACGUUCGCAAGAAUGAAACUCAAAGGAAUUGACGGGGGCCCGCACAAGCGGUGGAGCAUGUGGUUUAAUUCGAUGAUACGCGAGGAACCUUACCAGGGCUUAAAUGUAGAUUGACAGGUUUGGAAACAGACUUUUCUUCGGACAAUUUACAAGGUGCUGCAUGGUUGUCGUCAGCUCGUGCCGUGAGGUGUCAGGUUAAGUCCUAUAACGAGCGCAACCCCUAUUGUUAGUUACCAGCGCGUUAAGGCGGGGACUCUAGCAAGACUGCCGGUGCAAACCGUGAGGAAGGUGGGGAUGACGUCAAAUCAUCACGGCCCUUACGUCCUGGGCUACACACGUGCUACAAUGGCAAGUACAGAAAGCAGCUACCUGGCAACAGGAUGCGAAUCUCCAAAGCUUGUCUCAGUUCGGAUUGGAGUCUGCAACUCGACUCUAUGAAGCUGGAAUCGCUAGUAAUCGGAUAUCAGCCAUGAUCCGGUGAAUACGUUCCCGGGCCUUGUACACACCGCCCGUCAAGCCAUGGAA
rnacentral:rRNA from 1 species